CACCACGCCAGCGACAUGCCGCCCAAAGAGCUGCCCGGGUUCUACUACGACCCGGACAAGAACCGCUACUUCCCCACCAAGGGCCGCAUCCCCGGCGCCGCCACCCGCCCUCCUCGCCCUCCGCCGCCGCCGGCCGAGCCCUCGCCUCCUCCCACAGCACGCAGGAAAAGGGCGAGGCAGUCCGAGCUGCUGCAUGCCAGGGAGAUGUACGGCGGUGGUGUGAUAUUCUCCAAGAACAACAAGUCCACCUUCAAGCAGCAGUGCCAGUACACACAGGCGUCGCAGCCGAUGGUUUGGAAGUACCAAGGCACAACCUUAGUGGCUGAUAAGGCACUGGAGGAACUGCACGCCAUGGUUCAGACACCGAGUGGACUGCGUGAGUCCAAGCUAUUAGCGACCGGCAGCACGAAUGGUUCAAUCAGAUUAUUUGGGUUAGGAACUGCUCUAGAGAAUUUUGAGGAUGGGAUGGAGUUUUUACCUCAGCCUGUUUGGACUCCCUUGGGAAAGCAGAUAGCAGCAGUGAAUUCUCCACUUGCAAAUAUCUGGUCAUCUGAAACAGCGUUCUCAAACUUCUCAUCCAGUAUAUUUUGCAUAAAAAAGUUCGGGCGCAACUUCCAUGAUGCAGCCAGCACCAACUCAUCAGUUCAGCAAGCAUUGGUGGCUACUCUUGGAUCUGGAGGAUCUGGUGGUUCUGUUUAUAUUAUGGAUAUGUCAACUAUUGACUCUGCAACGGUUUCACGGAAUGCCCAUGAAAGAAUUGAAAGAGUUGCUUCAUUUGAUCGUACAGUAUGGACUGCUGAUUGUAAUUCUGAUGGCACACAAGUAGUUUUAGGUACAAACACUGGCGCUGGUUUGCUUAAUUUGGAGACAGGGACGUUAUCAUGGCUGUAUCGUUGUAAAAGUGACAUUCUUUCCCAGCAAUUUGUGCACUCGGGAAAUGUGGUGCUAUGUGGCCUACGGAAUGGGAGCAUAGUCCCUGUGGAUGUGCGGGAAAGGCACAGUAAUCACCCUACUGGUCGAUCUUCACCUAGCACUGCUAGGGGGACAGUUCCCAUGCUGUCUGCAAGGCAUAAUGGCAGAGGGAGAAACCAGGCUGAUAAGGCAAAAUCAUCUAGGGUUAUCUCUAUGCCUUCAGCAGUUUGCAGCCUGGUUUCUCUGUCGUCGGAUGAACACUACUUCUUAGGGAGCUCCAUGGAUGGAUCGAUCAAGCUAUUUGAUCUCCGUCUCAUUCAGAAGGGGGCUAUACAGUCUUAUGCAGGGCAUGUGAAUUCACACAAUAAUUUACCACUUGUUGUUGAUCCAUCUGAAACCCUACUUAUGUCAGGUGGGGAGGACUGUACCGUCCGUAUUUGGAGCAUCAAAACAGGCGAGCAAAUAUUUGCCAAGAGUGUGGCUGACACUCUCUUCACUGCACUUUGCUGGCCAGAAAGCAACCUUAACUUGGAUGGUUCUUCUUCGCUGUUUGAUCUAAACCACAGUUGGGGGGCUUGGAUGGGAUCACGUGAUGGCCUGUUCUACAUGCAUGGUACUUAAACUGGCUGUGCACUGAUACAAACUCUGGAGCGGACGGAUGCAAUUACUGCUUUUUCUUGGGGAAGACGCAUCGAAGACGAUUGAUCCUGUUGGUUCACCGAAAAGUGUGCUCAAGCUGGUGUCGCUGGAGAGAUCUCAGCCGUCGUAGUUGAUCCUGUUGUUUCUGGAAGCGAGGGUUAGUUAUAUGGGAUCUGCUCCUCAUAGAGUAAUAGUGAUGAUGAUCAUGUUGUUUCUCUUAGUGAUAGCAUCAUAUAUUCAUAUUAGCAAACACUGCUUCGGAGGUAUUGGUACACCAUUCCAGAUCUUUUUUAUCACACAAAACUGGUGCAACAUUUUAUUCAGCUCUUCCUACUUGCUACUAGCUACACCCAGGCAUGUUCAGGAUAAGGUCGCCCUCUUUGCUGUUUGUCGCCAGUUCCAAUCUUUCCCACUUUGUUCGGAGCGUGAUGAACAGGAGAACGGCAUUCUGGCAAAGGAGACCGCAUAUCUGACCCAUCCACAACCCCUGAAACAGGUUGCAUCACACUGAUGUUAGCAUUUUAUGGACACAUAAACAUGAUCUUCAGUACUCAAUAUGAAGGGAGAGAAAGAUAGUUACCACAUCGCAAUAAUAGAAGUGCUCAUUUGAGAAUCUGGCAUCAGCCCAGCAAGCAACACCAAUAUCUCAAACGCCCAGUACUCAAAGCUGCCAUUUGUAGAGGGAACAGCUAACUUGAGGCCGGGCAGCACGUACUGAAACGCUUCUGUUGAAAAUCCCCCCCAGGUCUGCUUGAAUCUCGUCGACAACAUCACAUAGGAUGCGAGCAUAAUGAAAGAUAGCCAGAGAGACAGCGAAGUUGACAUGGCUGGGCCUGCGAAGCCGAGCCCCAGGUAGUGCACGGAGGCAUGGGUAAUCCCGACAUGGAACACAAGUGGCAGGAGCGAGAACGCCACCAGUGGCAUCACCACGGACUGUGUCUGCAGGAACCUGAGGAUACAC